UGCUCAGUCUUACGUUUUCUAUGUUGUUUCUAGUGUACUUUUAUUUGUCUGCAUGUCUUUUUUAGUUUUAGUCAUGGAAUUGUAAGUUUAUUUUCGAUUUAUGAGUUUGCUGUUCAUCUGGUAUCUUUAGCUCCAAUAUUACAAUUUAUCUGUUUUAAUAUGAUUGUCUUGAACCUCUUUUUCAUAGUUCAGUGAGUGACUAUAUAGCUACUCGAAGAAUUGUUUUCUAUGUUGAUUCUCUAUUAUAAGUUAUAUGCUAACGAUUUUUGUAUGUGUGCAACUAUAUGGUCAUUAUGCCAAUCUAACAGUUCUAAUUUGACCACAUAAUCAUUGAUAAUUCACAAAGUUAAGUUUCC
rnacentral:lncRNA from 1 species